rnacentral:rRNA from 1 species
AUUGAACGCUGGCGGAAUGCUUUACACAUGCAAGUCGAACGGUAGAGGGGGCAACCCCUCGAGAGUGGCGAACGGGUGAGUAAUAUAUCGGAACGUGCCCAGUCGUGGGGGAUAACGUAGCGAAAGUUACGCUAAUACCGCAUACGAUCUAAGGAUGAAAGCGGGGGAUCGCAAGACCUCGCGCGAUUGGAGCGGCCGAUAUCAGAUUAGGUAGUUGGUGGGGUAAAGGCUCACCAAGCCAACGAUCUGUAGCUGGUCUGAGAGGAAGACCAGCCACACUGGAACUGAGACACGGUCCAGACUCCCACGGGAGGCAGCAGUGGGGAAUUUUGGACAAUGGACGCAAGUCUGAUCCAGCCAUUCCGCGUGCAGGAUGAAGGCCCUCGGGUUGUAAACUGCUUUUGUACGGAACGAAAAGGUCUCUCUUAAUACGGGGGACUCAUGACGGUACCGUAAGAGUAAGCACCGGCUAACUACGUGCCAGCCGCCGCCGUAA